ensembl:lncRNA
GUAAGGCCACCCACAGACCUCUACUAAGCAAUGAGGGGCUGUGGUCCCGGGAACCAGGCUGAUGAGCACGUAGUGGGUGCUGGGCAACGGGCUAAGUGCUUUCUGCAUACUAAACAAACCUAAGAAACCUCAGAUGAGGAAGCAGCCUGCUAAUGACUUUCUUCCAGUCCACCUGCGCAGAUGCUCGGAAGGACCAGAAUAACCCAUCAGUGAACUUUGGAUGUCACAGGCUAAAAAUCCACAUGUAACGCACAGAACCCUCCUCAAUGCGUACUGUGUCCCAUGAAGAGAUAGGAAAAACAGUCAUGCCCGCACAGAGGACUCUUGAAACUUCCCUUUACUCGUCCAAGAGGCAGUGCUUAGCUCCGACUCCCUCCUAUUCCCUACUCUCACGAUAAAUACCCUGCUCAAAAAGCUGAUGGGAGAGACAGAGCUGAGCUUUGCGUCCUGUCUCCUUGCUUGGCCUCCCUGUAAUAAAGGCUUUCAUCUCUACAAAAGACUGUUGUUUUGGUGUUUGGUCUUUCUGUUACGAGCCCACUUCCUCAAUUACAAGUGGGCCAGUGGGCGUGUGAACCCUGAUUCCAGGCCUGACCCUUAGCUCUGGACAGAUGGGGGCCUCUUGUCAGCAGUGCCUGGGAGGUACCUCUGUGGGGUGGGCACAGGUGGUGGUUUGCCCCUCUGCUUGUGUGGCUGGCAAGUCUGCAGGGCCCCCUUUCC